ensembl:lncRNA
GGGGAUGGCGAGCCGGAGGGCGCCGGGACGCCCCCGCGGCGCCCGCGCCGGGCCCGGGACUCACUGCGGGGCGCUGCCAGCGGCUCCCAGCGCCGGUCGCUCCUCCUGCGCGGCGCCGCGGGCUCGGCUCCACCUCCCGCUCCGGCGGCCGCCGAGCCUCCGGGGACCCGCGGGCGGGGAGCGCAGGGCCGCCGCCAAGCCCGGAGCCGGGGCUGGGGCUGGGGCUGGGGGGCGGCGAGCCAUGGGCGGGGCGGGGGGCGCGCCGGCCCGAGCGGGUCCCCGCGCGCCGGGCGAGCCUGAGACCACCCCGCAGGUGGCGGAUCCGCGCGCGCCCGAGGCCCGAGAAGUUGCGGGAGGGGCGAGGACGAGGCGGCAGCCGGGCUCCGGCCGAGAGAGAGAGGGUCGGUAUCUCCUCGGCAAGGGUGGUCCUUCCUCUUUCCGGACCCCCUCCCUCCCAACGGUCUGGCCCCUCGCGGCUCUGGGCGGCCCUCCCAGCCCUGGGCCGACUGACUCACCAAAACUUUGCAGACGGCGCUGGGGAGAAUUAAUCCCGGAGUCGCCGUCUACGCGGCCCUGGGGGGUUAGGACGCCCGCCGGGAAGAGACCGUGUACUCGCCGCGCGCGAAGGUCGGAAAGCGGUCGGUCCAGGAGCAGGACAAAAAGGACAAGACAUCCUCCCAUCCUGGCGCCCCCACUGAGCACUCUUCCCCGAGUGCCAGACAGCUGGCGCAGUUCCACGGGCUCAUGCUGUCAACAGGAUCAGCGAGACCUCACGGAGAAGCCUCUAGCACAGCAAGCGGCUCGCCCGAGACGCUGCCGCCUGCUUCUGUGCACCCAGCAUCCCCCACCCAUCCCAGGAGACAAGAAACGCCUUACGGGGGAAUCACAGAAUAAAACUAGAGCGGGGCAGCACCAGAGACGAACGCACAUCUGGUCUGUAUCCGCCUGACAUAAAAUCCUGAGAUCUAAACACAGAUGAGCUCGAGACGGGCCCUUUUAUUUCUACAGCAGUCGCGGUAAUCCACCCUUGUAGAGAUCUAGCUCAGCUGGGUCUGUCUGCUCUGACAGCAGGAAUACUGGCUUGUAGAUAUAUCCCUUGGACACCCCAGGUCUCUAAAGUAUACAGACAACUCUGUACACACAGCCCUUUUAACUCUGUGCAGACAACCUUUUUAACUCUGAUGGAUAGAUUAUUUUAAAUAUUAUUACUUCUUUCCAAGCAUUAUUAGCAUCUUUUUAAAAAAUAGAUCAUUUAUCACUUAAGUCAGUAUCUUCAAAGUCCUGUCCGACUUCCAGGCCUUACUCUGGGCCCUGUCACUGCUAUAAAUAC